rnacentral:rRNA from 1 species
GCAGGAGGGUGCACUCGUUUUUCGGAAUCACUGGGCGUAACGCGCGUGUAGGCGGUUCGAUAAGUCGGACGUGAAAGCCCGGGGCUUAACCCCGGAAGGGCAUCCGAAACUGUCGAGCUUGAGUACGGGAGAGGGAAGCGGAAUUCCUGGUGUAGAGGUGAAAUUCGUAGAUAUCAGGAGGAACACCGGUGGCGAAGGCGGCGUCCUGGACCGAUACUGACGCUGAGACGCGAAAGCGUGGGGAGCAAACAGGAUGAGAUAACCGCGUAGUCC